rnacentral:rRNA from 1 species
CCAGACUCCUACGGGAGGCAGCAGUGGGGAAUAUUGCACAAUGGGGGAAACCCUGAUGCAGCGACGCCGCGUGAAGGAAGAAGUAUUUCGGUAUGUAAACUUCUAUCAGCAGGGAAGAAAAUGACGGUACCUGACUAAGAAGCCCCGGCUAACUACGUGCCAGCAGCCGCGGUAAUACGUAGGGGGCAAGCGUUAUCCGGAUUUACUGGGUGUAAAGGGAGCGUAGACGGCAUGGCAAGUCAGAUGUGAAAGCCCGGGGCUCAACCCCGGGACUGCAUUUGAAACUGUCAGGCUGGAGUGCAGGAGAGGUAAGUGGAAUUCCUAGUGUAGCGGUGAAAUGCGUAGAUAUUAGGAGGAACACCAGUGGCGAAGGCGGUCUGCUGGACAGCAACUGACGCUGAGGCGCGAAAGCGUGGGGAGCAAACAGGAUUAGAUACCCUUGUA